GUAGGGAAUAUUGGGCAAUGGUCGGAAGACUGACCCAGCCAUGCCGCGUGCAGGAAGACGGCCCUCUGGGUUGUAAACUGCUUUUAUCUGGGAAGAAAAAGGCCAUGCGUGGCAAAUUGCCGGUACCAGAUGAAUAAGCACCGGCUAACUCCGUGCCAGCAGCCGCGGUAAUACGGAGGGUGCGAGCGUUGUCCGGAUUUAUUGGGUUUAAAGGGUGCGUAGGCUGCUGAUUAAGUCAGCGGUGAAAGACUUCGGCUUAACCGGAGCAGUGCCGUUGAUACUGGUUGGCUUGAGUGUCGGAGGGGUACAUGGAAUUGAUGGUGUAGCGGUGAAAUGCAUAGAUACCAUCAGGAACACCGAUAGCGAAGGCAUUGUACUGGCCGACAACUGACGCUGAUGCACGAAAGUGUGGGGAUCGAACAGGAUUAGAUACCCUGGUAGUCC
rnacentral:rRNA from 1 species